UCCGGGGUAAACAGGCCCUUCGGGGUGCUGACGAGCGGCGGACGGGUGAGUAAUGCAUAGGAAUCUGCCCGAUAGUGGGGGAUAACCUGGGGAAACUCAGGCUAAUACCGCAUACGUCCUACGGGAGAAAGCAGGGGCUCUUCGGACCUUGCGCUAUCGGAUGAGCCUAUGUCGGAUUAGCUGGUUGGUGAGGUAACGGCUCACCAAGGCGACGAUCCGUAGCUGGUCUGAGAGGAUGAUCAGCCACAUCGGGACUGAGACACGGCCCGAACUCCUACGGGAGGCAGCAGUGGGGAAUAUUGGACAAUGGGGGCAACCCUGAUCCAGCCAUGCCGCGUGUGUGAAGAAGGCCCUCGGGUUGUAAAGCACUUUCAGUGGGGAAGAAGGCCUUGGGGUUAAUACCCUCGAGGAAGGACAUCACCCACAGAAGAAGCACCGGCUAACUCCGUGCCAGCAGCCGCGGUAAUACGGAGGGUGCGAGCGUUAAUCGGAAUUACUGGGCGUAAAGCGCGCGUAGGCGGCGUGAUAAGCCGGUUGUGAAAGCCCCGGGCUCAACCUGGGAAUGGCAUCCGGAACUGUCAGGCUAGAGUGCAGGAGAGG
rnacentral:rRNA from 1 species